rnacentral:misc_RNA from 1 species
UGCUAUUGGGACAUUUGUGACGUACUUGGCACACAAACUUCAGAAGAAAGACUGGAAUUAUGACAUAAACCUUGUCACGUGGUCUGCUGGCUUGUUCUAUGGUUAUGUUACGGUUGUUCCUCUUUGUCUGUAUAUUAUCCUCAAGUACUUCUCAGCACCAUCUGGAUUUGUUCAGCUUUUGUGCCUCUAUGGAUACUCGUUAUUCG